UACGUAGGUGGCAAGCGUUAUCCGGAUUUAUUGGGCGUAAAGGGAACGCAGGCGGUCUUUUAAGUCUGAUGUGAAAGCCUUCGGCUUAACCGGAGUAGUGCAUUGGAAACUGGGAGACUUGAGUGCAGAAGAGGAGAGUGGAACUCCAUGUGUAGCGGUGAAAUGCGUAGAUAUAUGGAAGAACACCAGUGGCGGAAGCGGCUCUCUGGUCUGUAACUGACGCUGAGGUUCAAAAGCGUGGGUGGCAAACAGG
rnacentral:rRNA from 1 species